rnacentral:rRNA from 1 species
UACGGAGGACCCAAGCGUUAUUCGGAUUUAUUGGGUUUAAAGGGUGCGUAGGCGGAUUAGUAAGUCAGAGGUGAAAUCCCACAGCUUAACUGUGGAACUGCCUUUGAUACUGCUAACCUUGAGUACAGAUGAUGUGGGCGGAAUAUGACAUGUAGCGGUGAAAUGCUUAGAUAUGUCAUAGAACACCGAUUGCGAAGGCAGCUCACAAAACUGUAACUGACGCUGAGGCACGAAAGCAUGGGGAUCGAACAGG